AUACGUAGGUGGCGAGCGUUAUCCGGAAUUACUGGGCGUAAAGCGCGCGCAGGCGGUUGGACAAGUUCGGCGUGAAAGCUCCCGGCUUAACUGGGAGAGGUCGUUGAAAACUGUUCAGCUUGAGGCGAUGAGAGGGGUGCGGAAUUCCCGGUGUAGUGGUGGAAUGCGUAGAUAUCGGGAGGAACACCAGUGGCGAAAGCGGCACCCUGGCAUUUGCCUGACGCUCAUGUGCGAAAGCGUGGGGAGCGAACGGGAUUAGAUAUCCCGGGAGUCCACGCUGUAAACGAUGAAUACUAGGUGUGGGUGGCGUCAAACCCAUUCGUGCCGAAGCAAACGCGAUAAGUAUUCCGCCUGGGGAGUACGGCCGCAAGGCUAAA
rnacentral:rRNA from 1 species